GAUGAACGCUGGCGGCGUGCCUAAUACAUGCAAGUCGAGCGAACAGACGAGGAGCUUGCUCCUCUGACGUUAGCGGCGGACGGGUGAGUAACACGUGGAUAACCUACCUAUAAGACUGGGAUAACUUCGGGAAACCGGAGCUAAUACCGGAUAAUAUCUUGAACCGCAUGGUUCAAUAGUGAAAGACGGUUUUGCUGUCACUUAUAGAUGGAUCCGCGCCGCAUUAGCUAGUUGGUAAGGUAACGGCUUACCAAGGCAACGAUGCGUAGCCGACCUGAGAGGGGGAUCGGCCACACUGGAACUGAGACACGGUCCAGACUCCUACGGGAGGCAGCAGUAGGGAAUCGGCCGCAAUGGGCGAAAGCCUGACGGAGCAACGCCGCGUGAGUGAUGAAGGUCUUCGGAUCGUAAAACUCUGUUAUUAGGGAAGAACAAAUGUGUAAGUAACUAUGCACGGCUUGACGGUACCUAAUCAGAAAGCCACGGCUAACUACGUG
rnacentral:rRNA from 1 species